UACGGAGGGUGCAAACGUUGCUCGGAAUUAUUGGGCGUAAAGCGCACGUAGGCGGCCAAGUAAGUCGGGUGUGAAAGCCCAGGGCUUAACCCUGGAAGUGCACUCGAAACUGCUUGGCUUGAAUGUGGAAGAGGGUCGCGGAAUUCCCGGUGUAGAGGUGAAAUUCGUAGAUAUCGGGAGGAACACCAGUGGCGAAGGCGGCGACCUGGGCCAACAUUGACGCUGAGGUGCGAAAGCGUGGGGAGCCAACAGG
rnacentral:rRNA from 1 species